rnacentral:rRNA from 1 species
GACGAACCGUGCGAACGUUGUUCGGAAUCACUGGGCUUAAAGGGCGCGUAGGCGGGCUCGCAAGUCCGGGGUGAAAGCCCCCAGCUCAACUGGGGAAGCGCCUUGGAUACUGCGGGUCUCGAGGGAGGUAGGGGCGUGCGGAACUUCCGGUGGAGCGGUGAAAUGCGUAGAUAUCGGAAGGAACACCGGUGGCGAAAGCGGCGCGCUGGACCUCUUCUGACGCUGAGGCGCGAAAGCCAGGGGAGCAAACGGG